UCGAGAAUUUUUGACAAUGGGGGAAACCCUGAUCGAGCGACGCCGCGUGGAGGAUGAAGGUCUUCGGGUUGUAAACUCCUGUCAUUUGGGAACAAGGCGCGGGUAUUAACUGUACACGCGUUGAUAGUACCAGAAGAGGAAGAGACGGCUAACUCUGUG
rnacentral:rRNA from 1 species